CGAGACUGGAGUUUUCAUGCUGUCUGUCAUUUGUUGGUGCCAUGUGACAUGUCUUACUUUUAAUAACCAUGAUAAAUACGUGUAAAAACAAUGAACAAUGCAAAAGACUUUCGAAAUUCUUUGAUUGCUGGUGGAUCAGCUGGGACGAUGGUGGAUGUGAUUCUGUUUCCGAUUGACACACUGAAGACACGGUUACAAAGUCAUCAUGGAUUCACACAGUCGGGUGGAUUUCGUGGGAUCUACUCGGGGCUUGCCUCAGCUGCUUUAGGAUCAGCUCCAACAGCGGCUGUGUUCUUUAGCACCUAUGAAGUGAUCAAGACCGCGUUCCACUCCACAGACAAACAAUCCUUGGCUCCAGUAGUACACAUGAUUGCUGCUUCAGUUGGUGAAGUUACAGCCUGUCUGUUACGAGUUCCAGUGGAAGUAGUGAAACAACGGACUCAGACCAAACACUCAUCCACUUCAUUUAAUGCAUUCCGCAAGACAGUCGCAACUGAGGGAUUCCUUGGUUUGUACAGAGGGUACAUCAGCACCAUAUCCAGAGAAAUCCCAUUUGCAUUUAUACAGUUUCCACUGUGGGAGUACUUCAAGGUUCUGUGGUCCAGAGAAUCAGGUGUACCCAUUACUGCAUGGCAGUCUGGUAUAUGUGGAGCACUGGCAGAAGCACUGUCAUACCGCUGCCCUGAUGACUGUUUCUGCCAUCCCAUAUCAUACUUCAGGGUCAACAGGACAUUUGGUGUGGUAUCUGUGUCUUUAUGCUCAUCUGUGUCGUCUUCCAGGAGUUCGAAUGUCAGCUGAAGCUCUUGAUCAGUGGCAUUGCAGCUGGUAUUACUACGCCACUUGAUGUAGCAAAAACUAGAAUUAUGUUAGCAGAGAAAAGCAGCAAGAUUGCCCAAGGCAGCAUUCUGUAUACUUUAAGACAAAUCAGGUUGCAAAGGGGCAUUAAAG
rnacentral:misc_RNA from 1 species